AAAUUCUGAGUGCUCCCUGGGGGCCUGGUUUUCAGAAGUGCCGAACGGCAACUGCUCUAACUAAAGCCAACGGGAGCUGAGAGUACACAGCACCUCUGAAAAUCAGGCCUGAAGUAUCUCCAGUUGGACACUCAUGAUUGGAGUCUGUGAAACCAGGAUAAUAAUGAAGCUCACCCUGCCUUUGUAAAGUGCUUUGAGAUCUCUGGGUAAAACGAGCUUGCAGAGCAUCUCUGACUGUAAUUUGUGUGCCACAGACUGAACAGAUUGGGCAGGAAGUUAUAAGUGAUCAUGAAAAGGGGGAUCCUAUCGCCAGUGUACAAACGGACUGAGCAGCGUGCUCCUGCUAACAGCAUGCCCCAUUAAACUGGAAGCACAGCACAUCUGCAAGAGUCCUGAUAUGGAGGCAUGCCAAGGACCAAGUGUCUGGAAAUUCCAAGUCCUGGCGUCAAGGGGCUAGAAAUCACUUCCACCGUUUCUGGAAAUAGCUGUGACCUGCCUUUCGCACCCUUUCUGUCCUUUCAGGCUAACCUGAGCAGUCUGAAACAGAACACUAUUGAACUCUUUAAAAGAAGGUUCCAGAACAUUACAGAAGGAACCUUAUCCCAUUUGGAAAACUAUAAACAACCUCCGAGAGUGCUGCUGCUCACUUUGCUGAAUGACAUCCAAACCUACCUAAUGUACUGUACCCAACGGAAAGCAUGCCAAUUCCUUUGCGGGAUACCUUUUAAUUUCUGA
rnacentral:lncRNA from 1 species